CAAUAGCGUAUAUUAAAGUUGUUGCAGUUAAAAAGCUCGUAGUUGGAUUUCGUGGCAGCCUGGCUGGUCCGCCGCAAGGCGAGUACUGGUCAGCCGCCCUUCCUCUCGAAAGCCCCGACUGCUCUUCGUUGCAGUGGUCGGGUAGUUCGGGACGUUUACUUUGAAAAAAUUAGAGUGUUCAAGGCAGGCCUACGCCUGAAUACAUUAGCAUGGAAUAAUGGAAGAGGACCUCGGUCCUAUUUUGUUGGUUUCCAGGGCCGAAGUAAUGAUUAAGAGGGACAGUUGGGGGCAUUCGUAUUUAAUUGUCAGAGGUGAAAUUCUCGGAUUUAUGAAAGACGAACAACUGCGAAAGCAUUUGCCAAGGAUGUUUUCAUUAA
rnacentral:rRNA from 1 species